UACAGAGGGUGCAAGCGUUAAUCGGAUUUACUGGGCGUAAAGCGCGCGUAGGCGGCUAAUUAAGUCAAAUGUGAAAUCCCCGAGCUUAACUUGGGAAUUGCAUUCGAUACUGGUUAGCUAGAGUGUGGGAGAGGACGGUAGAAUUCCAGGUGUAGCGGUGAAAUGCGUAGAGAUCUGGAGGAAUACCGAUGGCGAAGGCAGCCAUCUGGCCUAACACUGACGCUGAGGUGCGAAAGCAUGGGGAGCAAACAGG
rnacentral:rRNA from 1 species